rnacentral:rRNA from 1 species
UACGCAAGGUGCAAGCGUUAAUCGGAAUUACUGGGCGUAAAGAGUACGCAGGCGGCUUUGCAAGACAGGUGUGAACUCCCCGGGCCUAACUUGGGAACUGCAUUUGUGACUGCAUGGCGAGAGUUUGUCUGAGGGGGGUGGAAUUCCACGUGUAGCAGUGAAAUGCGUAGAGAUGUGGAAGAACACCGGUGGCGAAGGCAGCCCCCUGGGCUGAGACUGACGGUCAUGUACGAAAGCGUGCGGAGCAAACAGG